UUUGAUUUAAUUUAACUUUUUUUUUAUUUGACAGGGACAAUACAAUCAGACAUAGCUACAAAUCAAAGCUUGUAGCUGAUGUGAUGCAUACAGAGUAUAGCAACAAGUGCUAAUUUACAACUCCCGUCCCUGGUUAGGCUUUUCUACUCUAACACGACCUAA